GCUAGCGGGAGGCUUAAUACAUGCAAGUCGAGGGGCAGCGGGGCUAAACCUAGUUUAGCCGCCGGCGACCGGCGCACGGGUGAGUAACGCGUACGCAACUUACCUCCAAGCGGGGCAUAGCCCUGGGAAACUGGGAUUAAUACCCCAUAGUAUUCAUUGAUCGCAUGAUAAAUGGAUUAAAGUGUUAGCGCUUGGAGAUGGGCGUGCGUCCUAUUAGCUAGUUGGCGAGGUAACGGCUCACCAAGGCGACGAUAGGUAGGGGGCGUGAGAGCGUGACCCCCCACACGGGUACUGAGACACGGACCCGACUCCUACGGGAGGCAGCAGUAAGGAAUAUUGGACAAUGGGCGAAAGCCUGAUCCAGCCAUCCCGCGUGCAGGAUGACGGCCCUAUGGGUUGUAAACUGCUUUUAUUAGGGAAGAAACCUGGGGAUUAUUUCCCAGCUGACGGUACCUUAUGAAUAAGCACCGGCUAACUCCGUGCCAGCAGCCGCGGUAAUACGGAGGGUGCAAGCGUUAUCCGGAAUCACUGGGUUUAAAGGGUGCGUA
rnacentral:rRNA from 1 species